rnacentral:rRNA from 1 species
GAAAAAUCAAUCCACACCAAAAAUCCCCACUAAGAGCUCCCCCUUGCGUGGAGCUUUUGCACAUUGACAUUCCUCCCAGCAGCGCUGCUCUCCUUCCUCUCUAUCCAUCUAUCCAUCCGGCCAUCUGCGAGCUCCUCCCAUGUAGCUGCAGGAGCGCCCGAGCCGACUGCGCCGGCGAGCACCAACAGCAAGCCGCACCGCGCCCCUGCCCUCUGCUCCCUUCUCCUUCUUGUCCCUCCUUCCUCUUUCUUCUCUCUCUUAACUCCCUCUCUCUUCUCGUUGCUACAGGACCUCAAGCUGCCAUGGAUGUUGCACCGAGCACAAGUCAAACAGUCCAAGCUUGGGAGCGCCGCCCUCCUCAACCCCGUGCAGAUCUAGGCCGUUCCUAUUGGAUCCACAUUGCCCCGCCGCAAGUCCCUGGAGAGCCGUCGCUGCACUUCUUCCAGCGUGAGGGAGCCAGCGCUCGAGCGUAGAGCGGUCGCUCACCAGGACGCGUUACCCCCCAAGCCUCCCCCGCUCGCCAGGAUGCUCCGCUCGCUGCGGUGACCGCCCUGGUUCACACGUGGCACUGCUCGCCUGCUCGCCAGCAUGUUGCGCCAAGGGCCCAGCCGCAUCUGCUCGUCUGCAUCGAGACCGAAGGAGACGACCGCAAGCCCCUAUUCGUCUGCGCAUCCACGACCGAGGACGAAGCCGUAAGCUCGAUCCUCCCUCCCCGCCCCUGAUCUCACACCUCUCCAUGGCUGGGCUAUGCGUGGCAGCGGGGCGACGACUAGGCUGCGUGUGUAGGGGGGCUUUCGCCGACAUCCCGUCCCUGCACGUCAAGCCGCUCCACACCAUGGCCCCGAAAACUUCAACAAGGACGUGCAGACCCCAAAUUAGUAUCAUCUCGUUUAUAUUAUGAUUUUGUCUAUAUAAAUCAUAAAAACAUAUUAUGACAUGAGAAAAAAGUGUAUUGUGACGCUGAACCCACGGAAUCAAUCCGUGCUUUAUUAUUAGGGAAAGAUAUCUUCGUCAUAUAUCAAUUUGGUUUCAUAAGCACUGAUUUAUUUUUACACAAACUCGAUUAAAUUUUAAAAUAGUUUGAUCCUCCGACAAAGUUGAAAGUAUAUCUUUUAAAAAGGACGGAGGGAGCACAAACCAUAGGAUCCGAACAUCGAGGGGCGAUUUUUUUUGAGACAAGGGCGAUUUGUUGAUGUGUGUGGAGCGUUUGAGUUGCCCUUUGACCCAAAAACUCACCGGGACUAAGAGCAUCUCCAGCCGUUCGCCCCGCGGGCAGUGAAAAAAGGCCGCCUGGGGGUGAAUCGGUGCAAGUUAGGCACUUGGGGGCGGCUCGGUUCCCAGUCGUCGCCCGCAAAGGUCACCCUGAGCUCAGCGCAAUUAUGUAGAUCUGGUACAAACUCGGCGAAAUUUUAUUGAAAUUUGUACAAAAAAGUAAAAACAUGCAAACUACGCCAAACUAAGCCGAACUACGCCGCUAGCCACUACCUGAUGAGGACAUCAAUACCAUUGUUACACCCACAGCCCCUGCUACUAUACAUACUGGACCAAUUACUAGAGCUCGCGCACGCCAACUAAAUUACCAGGUACUUUCGUUUCUUGGUAAUGAUUCUAAUGUUCAUGAGAAUAUGAUGCUGCCUAAAUUGGAUACGUUUGUUUUGCUUACAAAUGAAGGGCCUAGCUUGAAGAAGGAUGAACAUUGGAGCAAGAACAAGCAUGGAGAUGAUGGCAUGCGCAAGGGGAACAAGAACGGAGUUACAAGUGAUGAUUUCAGGUCUUUGAAGC